rnacentral:rRNA from 1 species
UACGAAGGGGACUAGCGUUGUUCGGAAUUACUGGGCGUAAAGGGCGCGUAGGCGGUUUGCUAAGUUGAAUGUGAAAACUCUGGGCUUAACCCAGAGCCUGCAUUCAAUACUGGCAGGCUAGAGUUCUGGAGGGGAUAGCGGAAUUCCUGGUGUAGCGGUGAAAUGCGCAGAUAUCAGGAGGAACACCGGUGGCGAAGGCGGAUCUCUGGGCCUUACCUGACGCUCGAGGCGCGAAAGCUAGGGGAGCGAACUGG